GACGAACGCUGGCGGCGUGCUUAACACAUGCAAGUCGAACGGGAUCCAAAGGCUUUUUGUUUUUGGUGAGAGUGGCGAACGGGUGAGUAACACGUGAGUAACCUGCCCCCUUCUUUUGGAUAACCGCAUGAAAGUGUGGCUAAUACAGGAUAUUCCAGGCUGGUCGCAUGAUUGGUUUGGGAAAUGGUUUGGUCUGGUGGGGGAUGGGCUCGCGGCCUAUCAGCUUGUUGGUGGGGUGAUGGCCUACCAAGGCGGUGACGGGUAGCCGGCCUGGGAGGGUGGGCGGUCACACUGGGACUGAGAUACGGCCCAGACUCCUACGGGAGGCAGCAGUGGGGGAUUUUGCACAAUGGGCGCAAGCCUGAUGCAGCGACGCCGCGUGAGGGAUGAAGGCCUUCGGGUUGUAAACCUCUUUCGCUGGGUUGAAAGGCCAUGCUUUGGGUGUGGUUGAUUUGAACUGGUAAAGAAGUACCGGCUAACUACGUG
rnacentral:rRNA from 1 species